CAGUAGCCGCGGGAAUACGUAGGGUGCGAGCGUUAAUCGGAAUUACUGGGCGUAAAGCGUGCGCAGGCGGUUGUGUAAGACAGGUGUGAAAUCCCCGGGCUUAACCUGGGAACUGCGCUUGUGACUGCACAGCUAGAGUAUGGCAGAGGGGGGUGGAAUUCCACGUGUAGCAGUGAAAUGCGUAGAGAUGUGGAGGAACACCGAUGGCGAAGGCAGCCCCCUGGGCCAAUACUGACGCUCAUGCACGAAAGCGUGGGGAGCAAGCAGGAUUAGAUACCCGAGUAGUCCCUGUCUCUUAUAA
rnacentral:rRNA from 1 species